UACGAAGGGGGCUAGCGUUGCUCGGAAUUACUGGGCGUAAAGGGCGCGUAGGCGGACAGUUUAGUCAGAGGUGAAAGCCCAGGGCUCAACCUUGGAAUUGCCUUUGAUACUGGCUGUCUUGAGUACGGGAGAGGUGUGUGGAACUCCGAGUGUAGAGGUGAAAUUCGUAGAUAUUCGGAAGAACACCAGUGGCGAAGGCGACACACUGGCCCGUUACUGACGCUGAGGCGCGAAAGCGUGGGGAGCAAACGGG
rnacentral:rRNA from 1 species